AUUGAACGCUGGCGGCAGGCCUAACACAUGCAAGUCGAACGGUAACAGGAAGAAGCUUGCUUCUUUGCUGACGAGUGGCGGACGGGUGAGUAAUGUCUGGGAAACUGCCUGAUGGAGGGGGAUAACUACUGGAAACGGUAGCUAAUACCGCAUAACGUCGCAAGACCAAAGAGGGGGACCUUCGGGCCUCUUGCCAUCGGCUGUGCCCAGAUGGGAUUAGCUAGUAGGUGGGGUAACGGCUCACCUAGGCGACGAUCCCUAGCUGGUCUGAGAGGAUGACCAGCCACACUGGAACUGAGACACGGUCCAGACGCCUACGGGAGGCAGCAGUGGGGAAUAUUGCACAAUGGGCGCAAGCCUGAUGCAGCCAUGCCGCGUGUAUGAAGAAGGCCUUCGGGUUGUAAAGUACUUUCAGCGGGGAGGAAGGGAGUAAAGUUAAUACCUUUGCUCAUUGACGUUACCCGCAGAAGAAGCACCGGCUAACCCCGU
rnacentral:rRNA from 1 species